UAAGAGGUCCCGCCUGCCCUGUGACCACGAGUUUAACGGCCGCGGUAUCCUGACCGUGCGAAGGUAGCGCAAUCACUUGUCUUUUAAAUGAAGACCUGUAUGAAUGGCACAACGAGGGCUAAACUGUCUCCUUUCCCCUGUCAAUGAAAUUGAUCUCCCCGUGCAGAAGCGGGGAUAAUAUCAUAAGACGAGAAGACCCUGUGGAGCUUUAGACACCAAGACAGACCAUGUCAGGCAACCUCUCCAAAGAGAAUGAACACAUUGGCACCCUGCCCUAAUGUCUUUGGUUGGGGCGACCAUGGGGAAACAAAAAACCCCCACGUGGAACGAACAACACUAUUCUAAAAUAUAGAGCCGCAGCUCAAACUAACAGAACUUCUGACCAAUUACAGAUCCGGCUUCAACACCGAUUAACGAACCAAGUUACCCCAGGGAUAACAGCGCAAUCCUCUCUAAGAGUCCUUAUCGACGAGGGGGUUUACGACCUCGAUGUUGGAUCAGGACAUCCUAAUGGUGCAGCCGCUAUUAAGGGUUCGUUUGUUCAACGAUUAAAGUCC
rnacentral:rRNA from 1 species